rnacentral:rRNA from 1 species
CCUACGGGAGGCAGCAGUGGGGAAUUUUGGACAAUGGGCGCAAGCCUGAUCCAGCAAUGCCGCGUGAGUGAAGAAGGCCUUCGGGUUGUAAAGCUCUUUUGUCAGGGAAGAAACGGUGGAGGUUAAUACCUUCUGCUAAUGACGGUACCUGAAGAAUAAGCACCGGCUAACUACGUGCCAGCAGCCGCGGUAAUACGUAGGGUGCAAGCGUUAAUCGGAAUUACUGGGCGUAAAGCGUGCGCAGGCGGUUGUGCAAGACAGAUGUGAAAUCCCCGGGCUCAACCUGGGAAUUGCAUUUGUGACUGUACGGCUAGAGUGUGUCAGAGGGGGGUAGAAUUCCACGUGUAGCAGUGAAAUGCGUAGAGAUGUGGAGGAAUACCGAUGGCGAAGGCAGCCCCCUGGGAUAACACUGACGCUCAUGCACGAAAGCGUGGGGAGCAAACAGGAUUAGAUACCCUGGUAGUCCACGCCCUAAACGAUGUCUACUAGUUGUCGGGUCUUAAUUGACUUGGUAACGCAGCUAACGCGUGAAGUAGACCGCCUGGGGAGUACGGUCGCAAGAUUAAAACUUAAAGGAAUUGACGG